CUCUUGACUUAUCAUGUCGUUAGAGCACAGGAAGGGCCGCCUGCGAUAGUCCGUGCGAUUUUGUCACCGAGAGCAUAUACCACCUCAUUGAAACACUGUGUAAGCUGGUGUCUAAUAUUUGCGGACUGCAGGACGUUAGGAGGCAAGGAGUUUGAGCAACUGAAGACUAUAAUUUCUUGAUUGCACCAGUAUAUGUGAAAAAUAUUAUCAUUAGGCCAUUUUACGAGCUCGAGCUAUUGUUCCACGCUAUUCCACAAAUGAACGUUUUCUGAGAUUUCACAAUGCGUAAACGCGGGAAGCUAUGUGUAGG
rnacentral:lncRNA from 1 species